rnacentral:tRNA from 1 species
CGGAGCAUAGCGCAGUUUGGUAGCGUACCAUCUUGGGGUGGUGGAGGCCGUGGGUUCAAAUCCCGCUGCUCCGA